rnacentral:rRNA from 1 species
UACGUAGGUGGCAAGCGUUGUCCGGAUUUACUGGGCGUAAAGAGCGCGCAGGCGGUUGUUUAAGUCGAAUGUGAAAGCCCCCGGCUCCAACUGGGGAGGGUCAUUCGAUACUGAUCGACUUGAAGGCAGGAGAGGGAAGUGGAAUUCCGGGUGUAGUGGUGAAAUGCGUAGAUAUCCGGAGGAACACCAGUGGCGAAGGCAGCUCGCUGGGACGUUACUGACGCUGAGACGCGAAAGCGUGGGGAGCAAACAGG